rnacentral:rRNA from 1 species
UGGGGAAUUUUGGACAAUGGGCGAAAGCCUGAUCCAGCAAUGCCGCGUGUGUGAUGAAGGCCUUCGGGUUGUAAAGCACUUUUGGCAGGAAAGAAACGUCGCGGGUUAAUACCCCGCGGAACUGACGGUACCUGCAGAAUAAGCACCGGCUAACUACGUGCCAGCAGCCGCGGUAAUACGUAGGGUGCAAGCGUUAAUCGGAAUUACUGGGCGUAAAGCGUGCGCAGGCGGUUCGGAAAGAAAGAUGUGAAAUCCCAGAGCUUAACUUUGGAACUGCAUUUUUAACUACCGGGCUAGAGUGUGUCAGAGGGAGGUGGAAUUCCGCGUGUAGCAGUGAAAUGCGUAGAUAUGCGGAGGAACACCGAUGGCGAAGGCAGCCUCCUGGGAUAACACUGACGCUCAUGCACGAAAGCGUGGGGAGCAAACAGGAUUAGAUACCCUGGUAGUCCACGCCCUAAACGAUGUCAACUAGCUGUUGGGGUUUAUUAACCUUAGUAGCGCAGCUAACGCGUGAAGUUGACCGCCUGGGGAGUACGGUCGCAAGAUUAAAACUUAAAUGAAUU